CUACGGGAGGCAGCAGUGAGGAAUAUUGGGCAAUGGGCGCAAGCCUGACCCAGCCAUGCCGCGUGAAGGAUGAAGGCCCUAUGGGUUGUAAACUUCUUUUUUACGGGACAAAACUCUCGGUCGUGACCGGGAUUGAUGGUACUGUAUGAAUAAGCAUCGGCUAACUCCGUGCCAGCAGCCGCGGUAAUACGGAGGAUGCAAGCGUUAUCCGGAUUCAUUGGGUUUAAAGGGUGCGUAGGCGGAAUAAUAAGUCAGUGGUGAAAGCCUGCGGCUUAACCGUAGAAUUGCCGUUGAUACUGUUAUUCUUGAGUAUAGUUGAAGUGGGCGGAAUGUGUAAUGUAGCGGUGAAAUGCUUAGAUAUUACACAGAACACCAAUUGCGAAGGCAGCUCGCUAAACUGUUACUGACGCUGAGGCACGAAAGCGUGGGGAGCAAACAGGAUUAGAAACCCGAGUAGUCCC
rnacentral:rRNA from 1 species